rnacentral:rRNA from 1 species
GAAUAUUGGACAAUGGGGGAAACCCUGAUCCAGCAACGCCGCGUGGGGGAAGAAGGUCUUCGGAUUGUAAACCCCUGUUGAGAGGGGCGAAGGCUUUCGGGCGAACCGCCCGGAGGCUUGACGGUACCUCGAGAGGAAGCACCGGCGAACUCUGUGCCAGGAGCCGCGGUAAUACAGGGGGGGCAAGCGUUAUUCGGAAUCCUUGGGCGUAAAGGGCGCGUAGGCGGCCGCGUAAGUCUCGGGUGAAAUCCCUCGGCUCAACCGAGGAACUGCCCUGGAUACUGCGUGGCUUGAAGCCGGGAGAGGAUGGUGGAAUUCCCAGUGUAGCGGUGAAAUGCGUAGAUAUUGGGAGGAACACCGGUGGCGAAGGCGGCCAUCUGGACCGGUCCUGACGCUGAGGCGCGAAAGCGUGGGGAGCAAACAGG